AAUGAACGCUGGCGGCGCGCCUAAUACAUGCAAGUCGAGCGAGAAGACGUAGCAAUACGUUUGUAAAGCGGCGAACGGGUGAGGAAUACAUGGGUAACCUACCCUCGAGUGGGGAAGUAACUAGCCGAAAGGUUAGCUAAUACCGCGUACGCUCCUUGGACUUCGGUUCAGGGAGGAAAGCGAUACCGUGGGUAUCGCGCUCUUGGUUGGGCUCAUGUCCUAUCAGCUUGUUGGUGAGGAACGGCUCACCAAGGCUUCGACGGGUAGCUGGUCUGAGAGGACGAUCAGCCACACUGGCACUGCGACACGGGCCAGACUCCUACGGGAGGCAGCAGUAAGGAAUAUUGCGCAAUGGGCGAAAGCCUGACGC
rnacentral:rRNA from 1 species